UGGGGAAUAUUGCACAAUGGGCGAAAGCCUGAUGCAGCAACGCCGCGUGAGCGAUGAAGGCCUUUGGGUCGUAAAGCUCUGUCCUUGGGGAAGAAAAAAAUGACGGUACCCUUGGAGGAAGCCCCGGCUAACUACGUGCCAGCAGCCGCGGUAAUACGUAGGGGGCAAGCGUUAUCCGGAAUUAUUGGGCGUAAAGAGUGCGUAGGUGGUUUUGUAAGCGCGGGGUGAAAGGCAAUAGCUCAACUAUUGUAAGCCCUGCGAACUGUAAGACUUGAGUGCAGGAGAGGAGAGCGGAAUUCCUAGUGUAGCGGUGAAAUGCGUAGAUAUUAGGAGGAACACCAGUGGCGAAGGCGGCUUUCUGGACUGUAACUGACACUGAGGCACGAAAGCGUGGGGAGCAAACA
rnacentral:rRNA from 1 species